CCCUCUCACCCCGUAGAUGCGGCUCCGCCAACCUGACGCCAUCCUCUCGGACGCUAGGCCUCUCCGUCGGCCGGCUUCGGUUGCGACGCUACAGAAUGGCGACGAGGACUCUGUAGAAGAACCUGCCGUGCCUCAACUGUCAUUAUUGCAGUGACUGAGAUGCACAAAGCACAACACCGGCUGUGGCGAUCGGUUGCGUGCGUGCAGCACGAUUGUAUGUUCCCCUGUUGGCCCCCCCCUUUCUCCUAAUACCUUAAGUCAUCGCCACUCGUUCUCAGGGUUUAUGCACUGUUCUGUAUUGGACGCCCAAACGGCAUCUUUCCUGCAUCUUCUACAAAUGGCUUUUUCUCGGCGGUGGGCAAUGUGUUUUUCAAACCGUAUCGG
rnacentral:lncRNA from 1 species